UAUUUUGUUAAAGGGAUGCUGACCAACUUCUCGUCUCUGAAGCUUGAAGAAAUUCAUAAGAGGCUUAGUGAUCAUUCUCAUGGAUUUUAUGUGUAUGACCUAUCACUACAUCAGCUGCAAAUGUUUUUGUCUCGUCUUGUAUCGGAAGACAAGUUUGAAGUUAAUGAUGGAGAAUAUAGGUUAAGGAAGCAAUCGAAGUUAAUGAUGGACAAUACAGAUUACGGAAGCAAUAGAAUUUGAUGAUGAAUAUAGGUUAACUAAGCAAUAGAGAAUGAUGGAGAAUACGAGUUAAGGAAGCAAUAGUGACUAUAACUGUUUCUUUGCUUGAAUGUAUGGGAAAGUAUCUCCUUACCGUUGCUUCUAGCAAGACUAAUCUAACUAAACAGAAUAUAAUAAGGGAAAGGAGGCUGGAUUGUACAUUUCCAUUUAUUCAAAUCAGAUUAUUUUGUUGAAUAUGGUUGAGAAAAUAGGUUUGAUUGCAUGUUUCGUUAUAUUUCUGGUUUUUGGAAUUGAAGAGAUGGUAUAAAUCAUUCUGGUCAAGCAGUUAAAGUUUUGAGCUUU